rnacentral:lncRNA from 1 species
CAAGAGUUGAUGAAACCCAAGAAAGAUGCUGCAGCGCCGUACGUGGGAGGGGAGCACACAUCUACUCGAGGAACCAGUGACGGAGGGCGAUGAACAAUCAAAAGAUAAAGAUAAAGCACACAAGCAAGCACGCAAGAACAACCUCAUCCAUACUAUAGGUAGGUAGCAGUAAAACAUGCCUGCAGUAUUGCUACAACCAUCACUGACAAAAGCCAAGCUACUAGGACGCAAUGAAUCACCGCAGCGGACGCCAGAAGUAGACGCAUAGAUUUGCUGCUCGCCGG